rnacentral:rRNA from 1 species
AGUGGCAGACGGGUGAGUAAUGUAUAGGAAUCUACCUAGUAGUACGGAAUAAUUGUUGGAAACGGCAACUAAUACCGUAUACGCCCUACGGGGGAAAAAUUUAUUGCUAUUAGAUGAGCCUAUAUUAGAUUAGUUAGUUGGUGAGGUAAAGGCUUACCAAGACAAUGAUCUAUAGCUGAUCUGAGAGGAUGAUCAGCCACACUGGAACUGAGAUACGGUCCAGACUCCUACGGGAGGCAGCAGUGGGGAAUAUUGGACAAUGGGCGAAAGCCUGAUCCAGCUAUGCCGCAUGAGUGAAGAAGGCCUUCGGGUUGUAAAGCUCUUUUAGUGAGGAAGAUAAUGACGGUACUCACAGAAGAAGUCCUGGCUAACUCCGUGCCAGCAGCCGCGGUAAUACGGAGAGGGCUAGCGUUAUUCGGAAUUAUUGGGCGUAAAGGGCGCGUAGGCGGAUUANUAAGUUAAAAGUGAAAUCCCAAGGCUCAACCUUGNAAUUGCUUUUAAAACUGCUAACCUAGAGAUUGAAAGAGGAUAGAGGAAUUCCUAGUGUANAGGUGAAAUUCGUAAAUAUUAGNAGGAACACCNGUGGCGAAG